rnacentral:lncRNA from 1 species
ACAACCAAAUCAUUUUUCUGGGAACCUGGGGAUCAUCUUGGCUCUGCCUAUCACAGCCAGUGCCUGCACGCCCUGCUCCGGCAUCCCCCUAGUGCCUGAGCACGCCAUCCUCCUGUACCCUACUCCAUUACGAUGUGAUUCCUUCGUGUUAAAACUGUGGGUCCAGUGUAAUCAUACGAGCCUUUAAAAGCAGAAGAGGAAGUAGGAAGAGGAAAGCAGAAUGGAUGCAGCAGAAGAGGGAGUCAGCGAGGUUCCAAGGUGUACCUUGCCCUACUAACUUUGGAUCUGGCCAAUGGAAUAUAAGGAGAUUUGACCUGUGCUGCUGUGAUUAACAGACAUCAGAGGCAUGGAAGAAAAACAACAGUAACUAGAUGAAGCAAGGACCACCCUUCUGGACAACAAAGGGAGAGGAAUGAAAGUCUGACCUAGGAAAAGACGGAGUCUCGCUGUGUUGUCCAGGAUGGAGUGCAGUGGUGCUUUCUCAGCUCACUGCAACCUCUGCCUCCCAGUUCAAGCAAUUCUUCUGACUCAGCCUCCUGAGUAGCUGGGAUUACAGGCACCUGCUACCACACCAUGCUAAUUUUUGUAUUUUUAGUAGAGACGGGGUUUCUCCAUGUUGGCCUGGCUGGUCUCGAACUCCUGACCUCAGGUGAUCCACCUGCCUCGGCCUCUCAAAAUGCUAGGAUUACAGGUGUGAGCCACCACACCUGGCCAACUUAUCCUUUUUUUAACAUCUAGUUUUCUGUGAGUGUUUUCUAAUGUGCACUGUAGACGGACAUAGUGGUAUGUGAUUACUAUUCAUAGAUAAAUAAUAAUUUGUUUAUUAUUGUGUAAUAAACAUUGUGUGAUAAAGAAUUUGGCUGACCUUUGUU